rnacentral:rRNA from 1 species
UAGGGAAUCUUCGGCAAUGGGGGCAACCCUGACCGAGCAACGCCGCGUGAGUGAAGAAGGUUUUCGGAUCGUAAAGCUCUGUUGUAAGUCAAGAACGAGUGUGAGAGUGGAAAGUUCACACUGUGACGGUAGCUUACCAGAAAGGGACGGCUAACUACGUGCCAGCAGCCGCGGUAAUACGUAGGUCCCGAGCGUUGUCCGGAUUUAUUGGGCGUAAAGCGAGCGCAGGCGGUUUGAUAAGUCUGAAGUUAAAGGCUGUGGCUCAACCAUAGUUCGCUUUGGAAACUGUCAAACUUGAGUGCAGAAGGGGAGAGUGGAAUUCCAUGUGUAGCGGUGAAAUGCGUAGAUAUAUGGAGGAACACCGGUGGCGAAAGCGGCUCUCUGGUCUGUAACUGACGCUGAGGCUCGAAAGCGUGGGGAGCGAACAGGAUUAGAUACCCUGGUAGUCCACGCCGUAAACGAUGAGUGCUGGGUGUUGGAUCCUUUCCGGGAUUCAGUGCCGCAGCUAACGCAUUAAGCACUCCGCCUGGGGAGUACGACCGCAAGGUUG